GAAGGCUUUGUUCCAUAGGGGAGUUAAGGGAGAGGCCUGGUUAAGAUUUCAAGCUUCUCCUGAAUUAGCUGCUGUCUUCAAGGCUUGUACCAAGAAGGAUGUUUUCUCCCAAGGUUCACCACUCCCUUUUGUGAGUCCUUGGUGGGGUACAUGGAGAAAAGUCUACAAGAGGGUGUGAACUCCCCUACGUUUGCAGCCCCGUCAAGCACCACACUCUCUUGCCGGCCCAUCCUCUCAGCCUAUAUCAAGUUAGUGAGGAUUACAACACUGGAGCAGUUAUUUCAAGGAUUAAGUAGAUGAACUAUUUGGGAGCCACUGGCAAACUGGGAAGUGCCAAUUCAUUCUUCAACUGUGUUAGGCAGAGUUCUAGGCUCUGUGGAUUCCUCAGGAAAGGGGAUA
rnacentral:lncRNA from 1 species